rnacentral:rRNA from 1 species
CUGAUGCAGCGACGCCGCGUGAGGGAUGACGGCCUUCGGGUUGUAAACCUCUUUCAGUAGGGACGAAGCGCAAGUGACGGUACCUAUAGAAGAAGCACCGGCCAACUACGUGCCAGCAGCCGCGGUAAUACGUAGGGUGCGAGCGUUGUCCGGAAUUACUGGGCGUAAAGAGCUCGUAGGUGGUUUGUCGCGUUGUUCGUGAAAACUCACAGCUCAACUGUGGGCGUGCGGGCGAUACGGGCAGACUUGAGUACUGCAGGGGAGACUGGAAUUCCUGGUGUAGCGGUGGAAUGCGCAGAUAUCAGGAGGAACACCGGUGGCGAAGGCGGGUCUCUGGGCAGUAACUGACGCUGAGGAGCGAAAGCGUGGGGAGCGAACAGGAUUAGAUACCCUGGUAGUCCACGCCGUAAACGGUGGGUACUAGGUGUGGGUUUCCUUCCUUGGGAUCCGUGCCGUAGCUAACGCAUUAAGUACCCCGCCUGGGGAGUACGGCCGCAAGGCUAAAACUCAAAGAAAUUGACGGGGGCCCGCACAAGCGGCGGAGCAUGUGGAUUAAUUCGAUGCAACGCGAAGAACCUUACCUGGGUUUGACAUGCACAGGACGCCGGCAGAGAUGUCGGUUCCCUUGUGGCCUGUG